rnacentral:lncRNA from 1 species
CUCCUCUUCCUACGCCUCUAUCACAAACCCUACUAGCGAAAAUCCAACACCUCCAUCUCAAAUCAGUUUUCUUCGUUGCGAUUCCUACACUUCCAUCACAAAUCAGUUUUCUUCAUUGCGAUUAGUGGAAACGCUCAAGAUUCCAACGAUUCGGCUUAGUAUUGUUUGUUCGGUCACAAUCUAGACCAGAAACCCUAAUUUCAUGGCGAUGCGGUUUACGAACAAACAGAUCUGUGGAUAGAAUGCCCUAGCCGCCGCCUCCAGCAGUGAAGGCUAGGGUUUCAACAAGUUGAUCCUGAGCAAGUCCAGUUUUGAUG